rnacentral:rRNA from 1 species
UACGAAGGGGGGCUAGCGUUGUUCGGAAUGACUGGGCGUAAAGCGCGCGUAGGCGGGCUGGAAAGUCAGGGGUGAAAUCCCGGGGCUCAACCCUGGAAUGGCCUUUGAAACUCCCAGCCUUGAGUUCGAGAGAGGUGAGUGGAAUUCCGAGUGUAGAGGUGAAAUUCGUAGAUAUUCGGAGGAACACCAGUGGCGAAGGCGGCUCACUGGCUCGACACUGACGCUGAGGUGCGAAAGCGUGGGGAGCAAACAGG